CCUACGGGAGGCAGCAGCAGGGAAUUUUGCACAAUGGACGAAAGUCUGAUGCAGCGACGCCGCGUGGGGGAUGAAUGCCUUCGGGUUGUAAACCCCUUUCAGGAGGGACGAAGCGAAAGUGACGGUACCUUCAGAAGAAGCCCCGGCCAACUACGUGCCAGCAGCCGCGGUAAUACGUAGGGGGCGAACGUUGUCCGGAUUUAUUGGGCGUAAAGAGCUCGUAGGCGGCUCAGCAAGUCGGCCGUGAAAGUCCGGGGCUCAACCCCGGGACGCCGGUCGAAACUGCUGUGGCUAGGGUCCGGUAGAGGAGAGUGGAAUUCCCGGUGUAGCGGUGAAAUGCGCAGAUAUCGGGAGGAACACCAGUAGCGAAGGCGGCUCUCUGGGCCGGUACCGACGCUGAGGAGCGAAAGCUAGGGGAGCAAACAGGAUUAGAUACCAUGGUAGUCCUAGCUGUAAACGUUGGGCACUAGGUGUGGCGGACUCAUUGACGUCUGCCGUGCCGCAGCUACGCAUAGUGCCCGCCGUCGGGAGGUACGGUCGCGACGACGUAAACUACAAGAAGUUAGACGGCGUGAGACGNGCCGACGGACGACGACGAGGGAGGUAGG
rnacentral:rRNA from 1 species